UACGGAGGGUGCAAGCAUUGAUCGGAAUUACUGGGCGUAAAGGGCGCGUAGGCGGUUCAGAAAGUCAGAUGUGAAAUUCCGGGGCUCAACCCCGGAGCUGCAUUUGAAACUUCUAAACUAGAGUUUAGUUAGGGAAAACGGAAUUCCACGUGUAGCGGUGAAAUGCGUAGAUAUGUGGAAGAACACCGGUGGUGAAGACGGUUUUCUGGGCUAAGACUGACGCUGAGGCGCGAAAGCAAGGGGAGCAAACAGG
rnacentral:rRNA from 1 species